UCGUGUUCCUUUGUUAUCCUGGGAGCACUGGGCACUCAGAUCUCUCACUUGAGAUCAUUGCAUUACCUGAAGUCAUUGUCUUAGGUUGGAAGAUUUAGCUGGGGCUUUUCUUUCCAGAGGGAAAUGCCUGAGCUGGGAGGGAAGUCAGCAGAAAGAAGGAAGACAGCAGGAAGGCUUCAGGUCCAGGGAGCUGCUGCAAGAGCUCAGAGGCAAACAAAGUCUGAUCUCAAACAUCUCAUCAAAGGACAACACCUGCAAAUGGCAGUGACGCUGAGGCAGGAGGCAGAAUGAGGGGGAGCAGUGUUCAAACAAUGUUAACUUCAUUUCACAGAAGGAAACAACCCAUGGAACAUGCAAAAGCAAUGAACUCUAAUAGCUUUUAAUAUGUUUUUAAACAUUUCCAUCACCCCUUUACGUUUUCAGACACAGCUUGGCAAUAAAUCAAA